rnacentral:lncRNA from 8 species
CUGAAGGACUGUUAAAUACACCCACAAUUCACUCUGACUGAAGGACUGUUAAAUACACCCACAAUUCACUCUGACUGAAGGACUGUUAAAUGUCUGACUGUUUUCUGCUGAGUCAAAUAAGACAUCAUAUUAUUACCUGAGACAACAUUCCACAGAAGACUGAUGUCUAACACACUUUACAGAACUAGCCUUUAAUAAAUCAACACUUUGCGCACUAUUGGUUCUGGUACGGUGCGAGACAGAGCUUAGUUAGGUGUGGGGGAAACCACAAGAACCCACUGGCUAAAAGGUGUAUUUGUAACCAUGUAUGUGUUAAAAACGCAUACAUUUUGAGAGGACAAAACUGGUAUCUAAAUAGGAUGGACAUAUUCUCUCAUAAUUCCCCUGGAGCUAAAGCACCAUCCUCACCUGAGCCACCAAGCCAAGAACACACCCGCUGCAUUCCCAUACUCCCAUAUGAACACCAGCCCGAGUUCGUCUGCCACCGACUGUACACAAGGACAGUCACGCUUUUAACGUUAAACUCGCCUUCUCUGGUUCCAUUCAACCGUUCUUCGUUAAGACACGUCAUGAUCACGUCUCCGCCCGAGGUCAAACGAUGAGAGAGAGAGACACACUCCCUGCCUUCACAUUCAUUACACAUGCUGUCCAUCUCCUCCCCUGACCAAUCAGAGUGGUUACAGCUGCUGUCCAUCUCCUCCCCUGACCAAUCAGAGUGGUUACAGCUGCUGUCCAUCUCCUCCCCUGACCAAUCAGAGUGGUUACAGCUGCUGUCCAUCUCCUCCCCUGACCAAUCAGAGUGGUUACAGCUGCUGUCCAUCUCCUCCCCUGACCAAUCAGAGUGGUUACAGCUGCUGUCCAUCUCCUCGUGAUGCUAAUAAAUGUUUAUGAAUGUACAUGAAGCUGCAUUUCAGAAAAAUACAUGUUUAUGAAUGUACAUAGAACUGCAUUUCACAAUAAUACAUGUUAAUGAAUGUACAUAGAACUGCAUUUCACAAUAAUACAUGUUUAUGAAUGUACAUAGAACUGCAUUUCACAAUAAUAAAUGUUUAUGAAUGUACAUAGAACUGCAUUUCACAAUAAUAAAUGUUUUGUAGUGAAAGACGAUGUGAUGAUGUUGUUGGUGUCUCUGUGAUGGGUAAUAUAUAUAACAUUUUUGUUGAUGUUGACACAGGUCUGUGAAAAUAAAAUGGCAUGUGAUAUCUGAAGUAUUUCUGAAUCAGUUGCUGAAUUAACGACAUCACAUCAUUCAUGUUCAAUCACCUUCACACACGCAUGCAGGCACACACACACACACACACACACACACACACACACACACACACACACACACACACACACACACACACACACAUACACACACCCACAUCAGCAAUAUCUCAGUAAUAUCUCAGUGCUAUCAACAGCCAGUUGAAUCCUGUGGCGCGUUAUUCAAAUACCUUAGAAAUGCUAUUACUUCAAUUUCUCAAACAUAUGACUAUUUUACACCAUUUUAAAGACAAGACUCUCGUUAAUCUAACCACACUGUCCGAUUUCAAAAAGGCUUUACAACGAAAGCAAAACAUUAGAUUAUGUCAGCAGAGUACCCAGCCAGAAAUAAUCAGACACCCAUUUUUCAAGCUAGCAUAUAACGUCACAAAAACCAAAACCACAGCUAAAUGCAGCACUAACCUUUGAUGAUCUUCAUCAGAUGACAAUCCUAGGACAUUAUGUUAUACAAUACAUGCAUGUUUUGUUCAAUCAAGAUCAUAUUUAUAUCAAAAAACAGCUUUUUACAUUAGCAUGUGACUAGCAUUCCCACCGAACACUUCCGGUGAAUUUACUAAAUUACUCACGAUAAACGUUCACAAAAAACAUAACAAUUAUUUUAAGAAUUAUAGAUACAGAACUCCUUUAUGCAAUCGCUAUGUCCGAUUUUAAAAUAGCUUUUCGGUGAAAGCACAUUUUGCAAUAUUCUGAGUAGAUAGCCCGGCCAUCACAGGCUAGCUAUUUUGACACCCACCAAAUUUGGU